ensembl:lncRNA
AAACUCCGCUGUUCCGAACGUAUGAAGCGUUGGAUUUUUAUCUAGUUAACUCAUUUAGCCUUUGUGAUGUAGAUCUGAAAUUUCAAAUCUCAUCGACUUGAGCAGGAUGUGAAGAAGGCUGAUAACCAGCGCCCGCGCUCAUCACGUUCCUUUUGAAUCGCACUCUUUCACCUGUUCCUGUUCGCAGCACGGGGAAUUGCUUUCGUGUGCAUUGCCUUCGGUGCGAUCCUAUGCGUUUAGGCGGCAGGAGUUUAUUGCGGAUCGACAUUGUGUGGAAAUGGGAAAUGCAGGGAAGGGAAAGAAAAAUUAAAAAAAAUUAAAUAAAUAGACGAAAACCCUUCUCGGGCUGUAGCGUUUGUCUUGCUUUGUGUUUUUUUUUUGUUGUUUUUUUUUUUAUUUUAUAAUUGGUCACUCUUCUAGCCGGAUAUUCUAAUAAUAGUUUCGAAGGCAGGAAGUGCGCUGGUGUUGUGAUGAUCUGCCGAAAUUAAACUAACAAUGCGAAUCUUGAUUACAGAUGAGCACGACGGCUCUCGCGUCCCGCUGAUUGCUGAAGCGUGACCAGCUGCGGCGCAGCUUAAAAAGCAAUGCUGUUUCUGUCCUUGGUCAGAAAAUGACCAGAAAUAAAUGCUUUUAUAUGAGAAAAGCAGAGACGUGAAACACAGGAAACAAACGCUUCAUGUUAGACUCAAUAAAUAAGGGAUUUUUUAAAUAUAUAUAUAUAUAUAUAGAUAUAUAAUAAAUUUAAGCAGUUCUGCUAUUCGUUGUAGGUUGCUAGUCUCGUUAUGUACAAACACACAUCUUUAAUGACCUGCCGUGAGAAGCGGAGUGUAAACAACCCAAUUCCAGCAUGACUUCCCCUCAGAACUCGUAACAUCACAUGUGACAAGGGAUGAGGGUCUAAUCCAGAGCGCGUUCUUCAUAUCGAUGCACGUGCACUUGUUAGUAAGAACAGUGUUUACUUUCUGGGAAGUAUGUAUCGAGCGGUAUUGGCUGGCUCACUGCCUAACUUGCUACCUGACUAGCAGACUAAAGGGUUUAUCCUUCAUGUCCAAUAAAUCAAUGUUGUUUUUGAAAGCUGAAGUAUUUUAUUUGAUCUAUUGUAAAAAAAAAUCAUUUUUAAGUGGGUUUUCUCCUGAAUUAUUGGGCGGCUGUGGAUCAGGUGGUAGAGCGGGUCGUCCACUAAUCGUAGGGUCGGCGGUUCGAUUCCCGGCCCACGUGACUCCACGUACCGAAGUGUCUUUGGGCGAGACACCGAACCCCAAGUUGCUCCCGAUGGCAAGUUAGCAUCUUGCGUGGCAGCUCUGCUACCAUUGGUGAGUGAAUGAGACACA